GUGGCAGCUGUAGACGUAGUGAUGGCCUCAAGGAAGUGGCCAUGACCCUUUUUGGGGCUCGUCUGUCAGACAGGUCUGUGGCAUUUGACCUCAGGGGGCUGAGAGUGCACCGAAAUGGCACUAUAGGUGCCCUCAGGCUGGUGGUUAUUCUUCCUUUAUGGGGCUUGGUUUCCCCUCUUGUGGACUGAAGCAGUUAGACAAGAUGAUUCCAAGAUUUCUGUGAAGCCCUCUUCCAGGAAAUGACACCUUCACUUAGCUUUUGGACCACUUCUUUUCAGCUCUUGUGGUUCCUCCGCGCCCCCCCCCCAUCUUUGUUCGCAUUCAAUUCACAGCUGUUAAUCACUUGUCAUGCACCAGACAGUGUGCUAGGUGCUGGGGAUGUGGUAUGAGCAAGACAGAUACCAGUUCCUCAUGAAGCUCACCUUCUAAAGUGAUAAGUAAUGCAAAGGUAAACAAAAGAGUAACAAAAUAAUUUCAGGUAGCAGUAAGUGCUAUGAAGGAAUAAGAUAAAUAGCUGUGGAAAAGAAUGAAAAAGGGGGAGAACCUCCAGUUGAGUGGUUCAGAAAGUCCCUCUGAGAAAAAAACAGUAAGAACAAAGGUCCUAAGGCAUGAGAGAGCUUGGUAAGAUUGAGGAAGGAGGCCAGGGUAGCUCUGGAAUUUCAUCUGAAAAAGAAUGGGAGCAGUCCUAAGACUUAGCCCUCACACCUUUCUUGGGAUCUCACUGCUCCUGCAGCCUCAGUUCUUCAUUCUUCCACCCAACUCCAGCCUCCGCCCAUCACAUCCUUAAGAGGGCUCGCCCAGGCACAUUCAUACCACGCUUCGAACUGUGCAGAACACCAACCCCAACCCCAACCCCUGCCAUCUUCCAGGCCAGCCUGGUAUAGGUCUCUGGUUCCAAAAAGCUUUCUGUCUCUACUGUUCACUGGUUAUCGAGUCUCCAAAGACCAGUUCAGUUAUCUUCAAUACUUAUUCUUCUUGACCCUCUACUGCACAACUCUCAGGCUAAAGCCCCUUCAAACAACAAUAACAACAGCCACAAUCACAGUUAAAAUGUUCACAGUACUUGUUCCGUGCCAUUCACUGAAUGUUCAGCACCUUAUUUAAUCCUCAGCCGGAUGAGGUAGGAGCUAAAAGUAUCCUGUAGUACAGACCAGUAAAUUGUAGUUCAGAGAGAUUAUAGGACAUGCCCAAGGUCACAUACAAGAGAUGGAGCUUGCAUUCUAGCCUGGGCCAUAGGCACUGCCCUAAGAACCUAAGCAUGUCGACUUUCUAUUGUUGCUUAAGCAAACACUCCAAAAUAGAGUGGCUUAAAACAGCAGUACUCCGCCUCCCCCCACCGCCGCCCCCCCAUAAGUGGCAGGUGGAAAUUCGUGGGCCAGGGAUCAAACCCACGCCACAGCAGCCACCCAAGCUGCUGCAGUGACCAUGUCAGAUCCUUAACCUGAUAGGUCAUCAGGGAACCCCAACAACUGUAAUUUUUUUGCUUAUGUUUGCAUAGAUUGGCAGUUUGGCCAUGUCUCAGGUGGAAUAGCUCUUUUCUGCUAUAAGUGGUCUUGCCUGGGCUUACUCCUAUAUUUGCAGUCAGUUAGCAUGUUGGCAAGCUUACUGGUCCUAUAUGGCCUCAUGCACAUGUCUCCCAGGUGGCUGGGUCUGCUGGCUUGAGUGCCUGGGUUCUUCUCCAUGUGGCUUCUUUAGCAGACUAGCUCAGGCUUCCUCGUGAUGGCCUCCAAAAGGAAAAAAACUAAAGCAGCAAGGCCUCUUGAGGCCUAGGCUCAGAAGUGCUGUAGCAUCACUUUCAUUGCAUUUUAUUGAGCUGGCCUGUCACAUGGCCAGCUCAGAUUCAAGAAACAGAUUCUGUCUCUUGAUAGAAAAAAACAUCAAAGUCGUAUUGCAAGGAGUUAUAUGAGGAUGUGUGAGCAUGGGGGGUGGAUCAUUGUGACCAUCUUGGUAAACAACAUAGCACACUAAGUGACCGUGGGUACAGAACUGGUUAAGCAAAUUGUGGUAGAGCUAAACAUGGAGCUCUUGAUAAGGAGAGCUAAUAUGCACUUACUAUAUGUCAGACACUACACAAGAUGCUUUAUGUGUGUUCACUCAUUUAGUCCUCACAGCAGCUCUGUGUGACAGGUACAUGUUUAUCCCCUUCCAGAGAUUAAGCACAGCAAGCCUCAGAGAGGUGUACCACGUGUGCGAGGUCACACAGCUAACAAGUGGCAAAGCUCUUAAAAAGGAUGAAGACUGGAGAUCCUGUUGUGGCUCAGGGGGUUAAGAACCCGACAUAGUAUCCAUGAGGAUGUGGGUUCAAUCCCUGGCCUUGCUCAGUGGGUUAAGGAUCAGGUGUUGCCAAGAGCUGUAGUGUAGGUCACCAAUGUGGCUUGAAUCCGGCCUUGCUGUGGCUGUGGAUGUAGGCCUCAACUGCAGCUCUGAUUCGACCCCUAGCUUGGAAACUUCCAUAUGCUGCAGGUGCAGCUGUAAAACAAACAAACAAAAAAAGCAAAAGACGGGAUGAGGACCAUUGAUUUCUAGGCAUGGAAAGCUCUCCUUGCGUACUAUUAUAGGAUAAAAAGCAAGAGACGAAAGUUUGAUGAGAACACAUUUUAAAAAAAAAAAUUUUUUUUUUUUUUUUUGCCUUUUAGGGCUGCACCUGCAGCAUAUGGAAGGUCCCAGGCUAGGGGUUGAAUUGGAGCUGCAGCUGCAUGUCUAUGACACAGCCACAGCAACUCGGGAUCUGAGCAGCAUCUGUGACUUACAUCACAGCUCACAGCAACACUGAAUCCUUAACCCACAGAGCAAGAGUUGAAGCCCUCAGGAAUUGAACCUCAUCCUUAUGGACACUGGGGGAUUCGUAACACAUUGAGCCACAAAGAGAACUCCCAAAAAACACACUUUAAAUUGGGCAUAUGUAUAUUUAGACAAAGUUCAGGAAGGAUUUACCACAAACUCUUAAUGGAGGUAAUUCAGAAGAGGAAGAGUUCCUGUUGUGGCUCAACGGUUAACGAAUCCAACUAGGAACCAUGAGGUUGAGGGUUUGAUCCCUGGCCUUGCUCAGCGGGUUAAGGAUCUGGCGUUGCCGUGAGCUGUGGUAUAGGUUGCAGACAUGGCUCAGAUCCCAUGUUGCUGUGGCUCUGGCGUAGGCCGGCAGCUGCAGUUCCGAUUUAACCCCUAGCCUGGGAACCUCCAUAUGCCGCAGGAGCGGCCCAAGAAAUGGC
rnacentral:lncRNA from 1 species